AAAUUAUCGUUAAAUACCGAAUCACUCAUGUCAAACGAAUCCAGAAACACCAUAUUCAUUGGUAAGAAACCAUU
rnacentral:tRNA from 2 species